AAAAAAUAUUUUGAUAUGGCUUUCAAAGUGAUGACUUUUUUUCUUAUGAUCAUGGUGAUAAAACUUUGUGUUUCACCAGACAUUGAGGCAAGAGACGUCAAAUUGUGUUGUUUUUGUGAGAAAGAUGAAGAUUGUAAGAGCUUUUGCC